rnacentral:rRNA from 1 species
AUGUCCCGCAUCGCGAGGUCGCGCUUCGCCCUCACGCUCAGGUCCUCCGCCGCCCCCUUCUCCACCAUUUCACCCGCCGCCGCCGCCGCCGCAUCCCUCGCUUCGAAGGAGGCGCCUGCCGGCGCCGACGCAUCUUCCGCUCCCAAGGAGGCGGCCGCCGCUGGCGAUCCCUCCCCGGCGCCGCCUUCGGGGACCCGCAGCUCCUUCCGUCUGCUUAAGGCCGGUAUCUUCACCGCCGUCACCGCCGCGCUCGGCGCCACAGGCUAUGUCACAUACGCUUAUUCCGUGGAUGAAGUGGAUCAGAUGACGCGGGAGUUCCGGAAGAACUCGAAGCUCCCAAUCAGCGAGGACUUGUCCUGCUUUGAGAAGUUUAAGGCUAUGGCUUAUUCAGAAACUGUGAAAGUUCCUGCUGCUGCUAUUGACCUGUACUUGGAUGUCAGGAGCCAAAUUGAAGAUCAAAUUCAGGGAUUUGUUGAACCAUCAUCAGAAAAACUCCUUCCAGAUCUACCUCCUCAAGAACAGCAUGUCUUUACCAUAGUUCUGGAUCUGAAUGAGACUCUUGUAUACUCAGAUUGGAAGCGUGAGAGAGGAUGGAGGACUUUUAAGAGACCAGGAGUGGAUGCCUUUUUGGAACAUCUUGCGAAGUUCUAUGAAGUUGUUGUGUAUUCUGAUCAAUUAAGUAUGUACGUUGAUCCUGUUAUGGAAAGACUGGAUGCAAAAGGCUGUGUCCGGCACAGGCUAUCAAGAGUUGCAACUAAAUAUGUGAAUGGAAAACACUAUCGGGAUUUGUCAAAGCUGAAUAGAGACCCUGCACGAGUUAUUUAUAUCAGUGGGCAUGCUCUUGACUCAUGCCUGCAGCCUGAAAAUUGUUUGCCGAUCAAACCAUGGAAGCUUGAAGCUGAGGACACUCAACUGAUUGAUCUUAUUCCAUUGCUUGAAUUUGUCGCUACGGCAAGAGUUUCUGACAUCAGACCUGUCCUUGCAUCCUUUGAAGGCCGUGACAUUGCUGCUGAAUUUCUUGAGCGUUCAAGGCGCGUGUAUGAACAAAAAGAACAAAAACAACAACAUGGACGCAUUUGGCGGCGAUGA